rnacentral:pre_miRNA from 1 species
AUGCCCUCAUACCUUGAUGGAUGUAAGGAUAGUCAGUACUCUAAUAUCCCUCUUGGUGGCAU